rnacentral:lncRNA from 1 species
UAUAAUCCUAUGGGUUUGGGGGUGCUGCCUCCAACAGGAACAGGCUGUUUGUUCCCUGUCACACACCUGUAACUCCUGCUCUCCCCAGGAAGCCCGAGACACUCCCAUAUUUGCAGCCGCUGUUCCCCAGCAGGGAGCCACAGUACAGCCAAAGGUAGGGGCUUUGAGGACACAUCCCCAGCUCCCGGGGUGCAGGGUAGCCCUGCCUCAGCAAGCAGGGCUCUUCCCUGUGUGCGAGAGGCUUUUGCCUCCUGCAGCAGGUGGACAGGAGCUGGGAGGAACACGCUCCUGCAGGCAGCACCACCAGUCCCCUCCCUGGCACAGCAGGGUGAUGCCACAGGGCUGGGCACUGAGUGUCCUCUGCCCCAUCCCACAGGGGGCUGGCGGUCCAUGGCAGUGUCCCCCGUGUGCCUCAGAGAUAUGAGGACCAUCAGAACACACUGCCACCCAUUCAGGAUUCUCUCCAGAGCACAGAAUUUCUGCAGGGACACAGGACCCUCCCCCAAAAGCCCAGAGUGACCCGCGUGCUGGGCAGUUGUGGACACACCUGGAGGAGCCGUAAUGAGCAGAUUCCUGUGGUGACCAGGACACCGCAUGAGCCAGGUGUGGCCCUGUCAGGGGAUAUGGGACUGCUUGUCUGCUGGGUCUGCACCUGGUCCCCAGCUGACCCUCCUGCUGCCCCUCCUGGGCUGGCAGAGCUCAGGUGGGAGCAGCCCCUGGGACAUGGGGGGCUCACCCCUGCCUCUCACCCCCAGGCCCUGCUGCCUCACGGGGUCACCGGCCAGGCACGAUCCCCAAACACGUCUCCAGGGCACCAGGGCUCCUCCAGCACCCUGAGACUUGGACAGCCCUCAAGUAGCUGGACAGGACUGGGAACCCGGUGAUGCACCAGGAACGUCUCCUCAGCCGAGAGGAAAGUCUGACAAUAGCUGUCAGAGAAAUAACUUUUUAGUUGUAUCACAUUAAUAAAUAAACUUUCAAAAAUACA